GGAGAUUGAGCAGAACAGGUUACUGCAUCGGACUGUAAAUCCGACGCCCACGGCAUACGGGGUUCGAGUCCCUGAAUCUCCACCA
rnacentral:tRNA from 1 species